UGAUGAUUUGAUAAGGAAGGUGAAGCAGACUGAGUCUAGAAAUUUCUGGUAAAAGACAGGUCUAAAGGUAGGCAUCCCAGUAAAGAAUUCUGUCAUCCAGGGCCAUGGAAGAGAGGAAGCUUCACCAGAAAUGAGGAGAAUAAGCAAGAGGUCACACACCAGCCUUUCAGUUCAUGAAGUUUCUCUCUAUUUCUGGAAUAAAAGCUUCCCUUGCCUAAAGAGCACUUCAACCAUGUCAACUCUGCAAGGAGAGAGCUGAUGGGACCGAUUUCUCUGCUGGAUGUUGUGAGCAAGACGGCAUAAAACUGACAAGCUCAAGAUUCAAAUGAAAUAUCCCAAUUAAAGUGCAGUUGAAAUGCAAAGACCAGUACCACUAGCAAUAUAUAUGCCAAGAACAAAGAACAGAGCGUAAAUGUGAUCAAUGUCAUGCAAGAAAGAAUUGACAUGUGGGGAAAGAAUUUCAAAUGAGGAGUUUUCAAUCUAUUGAAGAAAAAGAAAGGAGGGAGUAGACAAGGGUGGAGAUAAGAGUUAACAUAACCCUGCAGUUGACAUGACGUACUCUUCCUAAUAAAACAGCAUUGCAGUAUUUAGGCCCAGAGAACUUCUAAUAAGGAUUAACAGGAGAGAAAAAGAGGAGGGGAGUAAGCCACAUUAAUUUUGGAUUCCUGACACCAGUUAUGACUGACCUUCCCCAUUUCAGAACUCUUGUUGCAUCAGUAUUAGGUGGAUUAACACUUAACUCCUCUAUAUUAGAGCAUAAUUCAGAGACCUCUGCAGACUACUGUGGUUCAACUAUGGUUCACUUAAGCAGGAAAAGUAUUUACUGGAAGGAUAUUGGGAGCUAAUAAAACUGUCUAGAGGACAAGGCUUGGAAAACACAUAGAAAUUAAUGUUUGGAAGCACAAGAACACCUGAAUGAGAACCACGUCAGCUAAUGCAGACAGCUUAUCUGUGGGACCAAUGAAUCUCACCACCCCUCAGCAGUGCUUUUCAAUUUUUCUCAUCUGUGUCCCACAUUAAAUAUUUUACACAGUGUUAGAGAACACACACACCUUUAACCAAACCAUAUCAUUAAAACAGGACUUAUUCCUAUGUGCAAUGCAUUCUAAUAUCAUGCAUUCUCUUCUACUUCAUUUUUUAAAAGUGCUGUUUAUAACCCACUAAAUUGAUUUCAAGACCCACUAAGAGGUCGGGACCUGCAGUUUGAAAAACACUGCUCUAGAGAGACUGAUUCAGACCACAGUGUCACAGCUGAUAAGUAAAGUGAACGAGCCUGUGGAGGAGGUGAAGAGUAAAGAAAAUAAAGGACCAUUCUGCAUUUGCAAGGGGACAGAGUAUGAAGAAUGGAAUAUGAAGCUUGAACAUACAUCCUUUAUCAGCAGAGUGAAAUUAGCAUGACCCCAAUUUAAUACUAUACCAAAUAUCAACCCACACGCAUCACCGCUUGGCACCGAAGCACUGCAAAUCAUGACU